UCCCUGGUGGCUCAGAUGGUAAAGAAUCUGCCUCUAAUGCAGGGGACCUGGGUUUGAUUCCCAGGUUGGGAA
rnacentral:tRNA from 1 species